AACGAACGCUGGCGGCGCGCCUAAUACAUGCAAGUCGAGCGAGAAGACGUAGCAAUACGUUUGUAAAGCGGCGAACGGGUGAGGAAUACAUGGGUAACCUACCCUCGAGUGGGGAAUAACUAGCCGAAAGGUUAGCUAAUACCGCGUACGCUCCUUGGACUUCGGUUCAGGGAGGAAAGCGAUACCGUGGGUAUCGCGCUCUUGGAUGGGCUCAUGUCCUAUCAGCUUGUUGGNGAGGUAACGGCUCACCAAGGCUUCGACGGGUAGCUGGUCUGAGAGGACGAUCAGCCACACUGGCACUGCGACACGGGCCAGACUCCUACGGGAGGCAGCAGUAAGGAAUAUUGCGCAAUGGGCGAAAGCCUGACGCAGCGACGCCGCGUGGGGGAUGAAGGUCUUCGGAUUGUAAACCCCUUUCGGGAGGGAAGAUGGAAUGGGGUAACCCAUUCGGACGGUACCUCCAGAGCAGCCACGGCUAACUUCGUGCCAGCAGCCGCAGUAAC
rnacentral:rRNA from 1 species